GACGAACGCUGGCGGCGUGCCUAAUACAUGCAAGUUGAGCGCUGAAGGUUGGUACUUGUACCAACUGGAUGAGCAGCGAACGGGUGAGUAACGCGUGGGGAAUCUGCCUUUGAGCGGGGGACAACAUUUGGAAACGAAUGCUAAUACCGCAUAAAACUUUAAACACAAGGUUUAAGGUUUAAAGAUUCAAUUUCCAUACCCCAAGAAUAACCCGCGUUGUAUUAGCUAGUUGGUGAGGUAAAGGCUCACCAAGGCGAUGAUACAUAGCCGACCUGAGAGGGUGAUCGGCCACAUUGGGACUGAGACACGGCCCAAACUCCUACGGGAGGCAGCAGUAGGGAAUCUUCGGCAAUGGACGAAAGUCUGACCGAGCAACGCCGCGUGAGUGAAGAAGGUUUUCGGAUCGUAAAACUCUGUUGGUAGAGAAGAACGUUGGUGAGAGUGGAAAGCUCAUCAAGUGACGGUAACUACCCAGAAAGGGACGGCUAACUACGUG
rnacentral:rRNA from 1 species